rnacentral:rRNA from 1 species
AUGUCCAGCUCCACCGCGCCUCGGUCGGCGAGUGGCAGAAGACCGCCUCUGCCGUACAUCGUCGACCCGCUGGACUACGAGCCAGCCGUUUUCUGCAGCUGCGGCGCAAAGGCAGCGCGGCUGACCUCGUGGACAAACGCCAACCCGGGGCGUAGGUUUGCCACAGACCUCUCUGGUACUGGCAAGACCCCAGGCCGAGCCCAUACAUGCGAGAGCUGUUGGUGGAUCUUCGUGACAGGAUUCUUCGGCUCGAGGAAGAGAACGACGAACUGCGCCGAUCAGGAUUACGCAACUUUUGUCCUCUUGAACAGCGUGACCUUAGGUGGCGUUCCGGAAGACAGAGUGGUCACCGCUGCCUGGCGUGCUGCGUUUUUUGUUUUAUUUGCUUUCAUCUCCUCUCUGCCGUGCAUGUGUCGUCAGAGAAACAGAUGCGUUGCAAGGCAAAAAUUAGUGCAGGCAGACGGCGCGCGGAACCAAGUUCCUCUCAUCAGUGUAUGA